UCAGCUCGUGUCGUGAAAUGUUGGGUUAAGUCCCGCAACGGUAGCCGACAACCCCUGUACCUUUAGUUGCCAUCAGGUUAGUGCUGGGGACUCUAGAGAGACUGCCGGUGACAAACCGGAGGAAGGUGGGGAUGACGUCAAGUCAUCAUGGCCCUUACGCCUAGGGCUACACACGUGCUACAAUGGUCGGUACAAAGGGCAGCAAUACCGUGAGGUGGAGCGAAUCCCAAAAAGCCGGCCUCAGUUCGGAUCGAAGUCUGCAACUCGACUUCGUGAAGUUGGAAUCGCUAGUAAUCGCGUAUCAGAACGACGCGGUGAAUACGUUCCCGGGCCUU
rnacentral:rRNA from 1 species